rnacentral:rRNA from 1 species
UACGGAGGGUGCAAGCGUUAUCCGGAUUUAUUGGGUUUAAAGGGUCCGUAGACGGAUCUGUAAGUCAGUGGUGAAAUCUCACAGCUUAACUGUGAAACUGCCAUUGAUGCUGCAGGUCUUGAGUAAAGUAGAAGUGGCUGGAAUAAGUAGUGUAGCGGUGAAAUGCAUAGAUAUUACUUAGAACACCAAUUGCGAAGGCAGGUCACUAUGUUUUAACUGACGCUGAUGGACGAAAGCGUGGGGAGCGAACAGG